AUCCAGCUGAUGAGUCCCAAAUAGGACGAAACACGCGUCCUGGAU
rfam:Schistosoma rodhaini strain Burundi genome assembly, scaffold: SROB_scaffold0026753